UCUAUCUAUCCCUCUUUGUAACCACCAAAAGGUGAAGAACCAUCCCCCAUUAACCCAUCUUAAUGCAAUUAAACCUUUGCUUUAUGAUAUGAACCAUCACAUUAUUUUUGCUGCACACUCCCUUCACGCCAGCCUUACAAAGAAAAAUAAAGAGUCCUUCUCCCUUCUCGCAUUUUCGGCCAUUUCUGCACGCUCAUCUUCUUUGCCCCAUAUCUCCUUCGUCUCUUAUCGGAAUUGGAAGUGUGAGUAGUCGAAAUUCAUCUACUCGGAGAGAUCUUGCUCGUGGUGUCAUUCGUUUUUGAAGAUACUGGAAGAAUUGGUCGCAGUUUUCUGUUUCAAUCAGACGGGUCACCCAGUUUUGUUUUCCUGUCGCACCUUCACGAAUUUGAUCAUCUCUGAAGAUCUAACCGUUGGAUCGCCCUGAAAUUUGGACAGCUUAUUUAGGACAUCUGGGCCUUCAUUAUUACCGGGGCGAUUUUAAAUCAGAGCUACAAAUUCACGGGAAUCGAGAUCAGAACAGAACAGUACAUAAUGAAAAUGCAAGCAAUUGGAGGUCUUCAAAGGACAAAAAUUGCAUGGAAAAUUUCAGCAAGGAAGAUUCCAAACCUUUCUCCUCCCCAAGAUGGUAGGUACAUUCAUAUGCAGAAAUGACAGCAAGAGAGUUGGUGCACACUUCAUUAAUAAAGACAAAGGACGCCCAUGGAGAAUUUGUGCAUCUUGGGAAAGAGGGAAGAGGAAUUUCAUUGUAAAAACCCACAAUUCUGAAUAACACUUGUAGAAGAACUCCAAAGUUGAAAAAGAUGAAAGCAACUUGGAUAGUUGUAAUUACUCCCUUUAUUUUUUUUACUUGCAACCGUUUAACUUUCACUCUUGCCAAUGCAUACCUUCAACUAUUAAUAUAUAUAAUUAUCGA